rnacentral:rRNA from 1 species
GACGAAUGCUGGCGGCGUGCUUAACACAUGCAAGUCGAACGGAAAGGCCCUUCUCGCAGGGUACUCGAGUGGCGAACGGGUGAGUAACACGUGAGUAAUCUGCCCUUCACUUCGGGAUAACCCCAGGAAACUGGGGCUAAUACCGGAUAGGAGCCCCUGCUGCAUUGUUGGGUGUGGAGAUUUUUCGGUGUAGGGUGGGCUCGCGGCGUAUCAGCUUGUUGGUGGGGUAAUGGCUUACCAAGGCGGCGACGGGUAGCCGGCCUGAGAGGGUGGACGGCCACAUUGGGACUGAGAUACGGCCCAGACUCCUACGGGAGGCAGCAGUGGGGAAUAUUGCACAAUGGGUGGAAGCCUGAUGCAGCGACGCCGUGUGCGGGAUGACGGCCUUCGGGUUGUAAACCGCUUUCGCUCGUGACGAAGCUUUUGUUACGGUAACUAGAUAAAAAGCCACGGCUAACUACGUG